AGUAGCGGCGAGUGAAGCGGCAAAAGCUCAAAUUUGAAAUCUGGUACUUUCAGUAUCCGAGUUGUAAUUUGUAGAAGCAACUUUGGUGAUGGUCUUUGCAUAAGUUCCUUGGAAUAGGACGUCAUAGAGGGUGAGAAUCCCGUUUAUGGUGAAGAACCCACACUAUGUAAAGUGCUUUCGAAGAGUCGAGUUGUUUGGGAAUGCAGCUCAAAGUGGGUGGUAAAUUCCAUCUAAAGCUAAAUAUUGGCGA
rnacentral:rRNA from 1 species